rnacentral:tRNA from 1 species
GGAGGCGUGGUGUAGCUGGCCUAACAUAACAGACUGUCGAUCUGUAGACCGCGGGUUCGAAUCCCGUCGCCUCCGCCA